UGGUGGAAUCAUUUGUCUGGUUACUUCCGUUAACGAACGAGACCUUAACCUGCUAAAUAAUUACGCGUAACUACGGUCAUGCGGGCAAUUUCUUUGAGGGACGUUAUGUGUCUAACGCAAAAAAGUUUGAGGCAAUAACA
rnacentral:rRNA from 1 species